rnacentral:rRNA from 1 species
GAAAGGUAAGCCGGAGAGGGUGACAGCCCCGUACGAGUAGAAAAGCUGACUGUUCUUGAGUAAGGCGGAGCACGAGAAAUUCUGUCUGAAAAUGGGGAGACCACUCUCCAAGGCUAAGUACUACUGAUUGACCGAUAGUGAACAAGUACCGUGAGGGAAAGGUGAAAAGCACCCCUAUAAGGGGAGUGAAAGAGAACCUGAAACCGGAUGCCUACAAGCAGUCGGAGGGUCAUAAGGCCUGACGGCGUACCUUUUGUAUAAUGGGUCAGCGACUUAAUUUAUGUAGCAAGCUUAAGCCGAUAGGUGUAGGCGUAGAGAAAUCGAGUGUUAACAGCGCGUUAAGUUACAUGAAUUAGACCCGAAACCGAGUGAUCUAGCCAUGAUCAGGUUGAAGGUUGGGUAACACCAACUGGAGGACCGAACCCACUCCCGUUGAAAAGGUAGGGGAUGAAUUGUGGCUAGGGGUGAAAGGCCAAUCAAACUCGGAAAUAGCUGGUUCUCCGCGAAAACUAUUUAGGUAGUGCGGUGAGCGGACACCUUGAGGGGUAGAGCACUGGAAGAGCUAAGGGGGAGCGAUCCUUACUAAACUUUACCAAACUCCGAAUACUCAAGAGUGAUACUCACCAGACAGACAUUAGGUGCUAAGGUCUAGUGUCGAGAGGGAAAGAGCCCAGACCGCCAAUUAAGGUCCCAAAAUUAUGGCUAAGUGGUAAAGGAAGUGAAACGUCCAAAACAGUCAGGAGGUUGGCUUAGAAGCAGCCAUCCUUUAAAGAAAGCGUAAUAGCUCACUGAUCUAAACAAGACGUCUUGCGCCGAAGAUGUAACGGGGCUAAAGCCAUAUACCGAAGUUGCGGAUUUACACGUUAAAGUGUAAGUGGUAGCGGAGCGUUCUGUAAGCCUGCGAAGGUGUACCGUAAGGUAUGCUGGAGGUAUCAGAAGUGAGAAUGCUGACAUGAGUAGCGAAAAGAAGAGUGAGAGACUCUUCCGCUGAAAGUCCAAGGUUUCCUGCGUAAAGCUAAUCUGCGCAGGGUUAGUCGGUCCCUAAGGCGAGGCAGAGAUGCGUAGUCGAUGGCAAUCAGGUUAAUAUUCCUGAACCGGCCCGGAAGUGACGGAUUGAGUAAAUUGUAAGUUCUUAUUGGAUUGAGCUUGCAGUGAAUCAGUCCCAGGAAAUAGCCCGGGCUAAGACCGUACCCGAAACCGACACAGGUGGACAGGUAGAGAAUACCAAAGCGCUUGAGAGAACUAUGUUGAAGGAACUAGGCAAAAUACUUGCGUAACUUCGGGAUAAGCAAGCCCCAUUUUAAGGCAACUUAGGGUGGGGGGCACAUACUAGGGGGUAGCGACUGUUUACUAAAAACACAGGGCUCUGCUAAAUUGAAAGAUGAAGUAUAGGGUCUGACGCCUGCCCGGUGCUGGAAGGUUAAGGAGAGAUGUGCAAGCAUUGAACUGAAGCCCCAGUAAACGGCGGCCGUAACUAUAACGGUCCUAAGGUAGCGAAAUUCCUUGUCGGGUAAGUUCCGACCUGCACGAAUGGCGUAACGACUUCCCCGCUGUCUCCAACAUAGGCUCAGCGAAAUUGAACUCUGAGUUAAGAUGCUCAGUACCCGCGGUUAGACGGAGAGACCCCGUGAACCUUUACUAUAGCUUUGCAGUGGUAUUAGGUAACAAAUGUGUAGAAUAGGUGGGAUGCUAUGAAGCUACGACGCCAGUUGUAGUGGAGCAGACUUUGAAAUACCACCCUUUUGUUGUUUGAUAUCUAACCUGCUCCCGUUAUCCGGGAGAGGGACCCUGCAUGGUGGGUAGUUUGACUGGGGCGGUCGCCUCCCAAAGAGUAACGGAGGCGCGCAAAGGUUGGCUCAGAUUGGUCAGAAAUCAAUCGUCGAGUGCAAUGGCAUAAGCCAGCCUGACUGCGAGAGAGACAUUUCGAGCAGAUACGAAAGUAGGUCAUAGUGAUCCGGUGGUCCCGAGUGGAAGGGCCAUCGCUCAACGGAUAAAAGGUACUCCGGGGA